rnacentral:misc_RNA from 1 species
UAUUCUCAACUUCAAUAGCUUUUGUGUUAUUGAAGCUUGGAUCUGGAGGUUUUUGCAGGCUCUCUUGUGAGUCAGCUCCUCUGAAAUAUAUUAGCGGAACCGUUUGUGAUCCGUCACUGGUGUGAUAAUUAUCUACGCCUAGUGGGUUGCUCUCUGUAUUGUUCAGCUUAUAAUCGUCCUAUACAUUGGACAAAUAUUAAUGAAC